AGAUAUAGGUCUUGGGUAAGUAGUUGGUGACACCCAUGGGAAGAAAGAAUUAUCUUAUGAACAGUGACAUUUCAUUUUACCCUAAGAAGGUAGACCACGAGAAUGUAACGGCUUAGAGGUGCAGAUCACAUCACCUAGGCUGCCAAAGUCCCCCUUCUACUUUGUCUUGUUUCCUCACCCCUCCAAUCCUAACCUCCCACGUCUAUCCAUGUUGGAUAACACCUUUCACCACUUCUCUUUCAUCUUUCCUGUCUUGGUCCAAUUUCCCGCACCCCAUUUUGGGUUCCAUUUUAUCCUUUUUGCAAAAUGUAUCUUUCUACUGCCC
rnacentral:lncRNA from 1 species